rnacentral:rRNA from 1 species
GGCGGACGGGUGAGUAAUGCUUGGGAACAUGCCUUGAGGUGGGGGACAACAGUUGGAAACGACUGCUAAUACCGCAUAAUGUCUACGGACCAAAGGGGGCUUCGGCUCUCGCCUUUAGAUUGGCCCAAGUGGGAUUAGCUAGUUGGUGAGGUAAUGGCUCACCAAGGCGACGAUCCCUAGCUGGUUUGAGAGGAUGAUCAGCCACACUGGGACUGAGACACGGCCCAGACUCCUACGGGAGGCAGCAGUGGGGAAUAUUGCACAAUGGGCGCAAGCCUGAUGCAGCCAUGCCGCGUGUGUGAAGAAGGCCUUCGGGUUGUAAAGCACUUUCAGUCAGGAGGAAAGGUUAGUAGUUAAUACCUGCUAGCUGUGACGUUACUGACAGAAGAAGCACCGGCUAACUCCGUGCCAGCAGCCGCGGUAAUACGGAGGGUGCGAGCGUUAAUCGGAAUUACUGGGCGUAAAGCGUACGCAGGCGGUUUGUUAAGCGAGAUGUGAAAGCCCCGGGCUCAACCUGGGAACUGCAUUUCGAACUGGCAAACUAGAGUGUGAUAGAGGGUGGUAGAAUUUCAGGUGUAGCGGUGAAAUGCGUAGAGAGAGAGAAGGAAUACCGAUGGCGAAGGCAGCCACCUGGGUCAACACUGACGCUCAUGUACGAAAGCGUGGGGAGCAAACAUGAUUAGAUACCCUGGUAGUCCACGCCCU